AUGGCUAGAUAUAUAUUGGAAGCCGAAGCACAUACUGUGGGUGUAGCAGACUGUGGCCUUGGCAAAGAAAACGCUGUUGAUCACAAUUCAGUUCUAAUGUCUCUUUCACCAGCCAGGUGGUGUAUAUAUAUAUAUAUUAUAUAUAUGGCCAACAAAGUGUAUCCAAUGACAGAGCAGCCUGUUCUUACAGACGUGUGGCAGGGCGGCGUGAUGAAACACAGAACUUCCUGCAGCGGUUUGAUGCCCAGCUGGUGCGUGAGGAGAAGAGGUUGGCUGGGAGGACGAGGUCAGAGUUCAGGUGAGAACUAGGCCAUUGGUUCAACACACACUCACAC
rnacentral:lncRNA from 1 species